GACAGAGGGUGCAAACGUUUGUUCGGAAUUACUGGGCGUAAAGCGCGCGUAGGCGGACCUGCAAGUCGGGGGUGAAAUCCCGGGGCUCAACCCUGGAAUGGCCUUCGAGACUGCCGGUCUUGAGUUCGAGAGAGGUGGGUGGAAUUCCGAGUGUAGAGGUGAAAUUCGUAGAUAUUCGGAGGAACACCAGUGGCGAAGGCGGCCCACUGGCUCGACACUGACGUGAGGUGCGAA
rnacentral:rRNA from 1 species